rnacentral:rRNA from 1 species
UGCGUAGGUAGCGAGCGUUAUCCGGAAUUAUUGGGCGUAAAGGGUGCGCAGGCGGCCUUUUAAGUUUAAGGUGAAAGCGUGGGGCUCAACCUCAUACAUCCUUAGAUACUGGAAGGCUAGAGUACUGGAGAGGAAAGUGGAAUCCCAUGUGUAGCGGUAAAAUGCGUAGAUAUAUGGAGGAACACCAGUGGCGAAGGCGGCUUUCUAGACAGUAACUGACGCUGAGGCACGAAAGCGUGGGGAGCAAAUA